AGAGUAAAUAGGCAAGAUUUACAGCCAGAGUGCUUCACAGCAGACUAGACAUGUUAAAAACAUACACGUUCCAGGAUCUACCCAGCACAGCUGAAAAAUAUGACCUGGAAGAAAUCCUGAGAUGCAGGAAGUUGGAAUUUGUCCACCUGAUCUUUGCAGUCUCAUCUCCCUGUGAGAGUUAAGACACGAAGCGCCCCGCUUACAGCUGAGUAAAUGUUUGCCAAGUCGAAUUGAUCGAAAAAACUCCAACAGAGAAAAGCUGGCUCUCGCUUGCAUUCCAAAAGCCUUGCCAACUGGCCUGGAAACCAAAGUGUGUGGGAGACCCCUGAAAGAAGAUACCUGUUACCAAGUACAUGCCUCAGCUACUGCUGACACCUGGAAAACACCACAAAAACUAAAGCAAGUGUGUGAAUCCAGCUCCAACUGCCAGACACAUAAGGGAUACCAUCAAGGACCAGUCCCAGCCAAACAGGAAGACUUCUGCCUCGUAAGUACCCCCGAGAGAGACACUCAAAGACGUGUCUAUUGAACCCAUUGCAACCGCUGACCCCCAGGAUCCUUAGCAAAUAAAACAUAUGUUCUUUUUUUUUUUUUUGUAUUUAUUUUUUGACUGCAUUGGGUCCUUGUUGAGGCAUACAAGAUCCUUCACUGAGGCUCAAGGGCUAUCUAGGUGUGGCACUUAGGCUUAGUUGUCCCCAUAUGGGAUCUUGUUUCCCUGACCAGGGAUCAAAUCUGAGUCCCCUCCACUGGAAGGUGGAUUCUCAACC
ensembl:lncRNA